rnacentral:lncRNA from 1 species
GUGAGCAUCUGCAUGCAGAAGGCUUCCUGCUUUCGGAAUUACACAAAAUGACAUCCAGCUUGUAGAGAUAACUGCCUGCAGGCUGCUUGGUUGGCAGCACCGCACUGUUCAGGCACCGCAGCCUGUCCUUGUGGUCAUCCCUCCCCGCAGCAGCUGGAACUCCGAUCUGCUACCGCAUCUGCAACUGCCACCGGAUAUUUCCUCAGGGAGGAGGGACCCGGCGCCACUGAGAGAAGGGGCUGAGAGGCGGCUGUCGGGAGGAGGGAUUCUUCCCGCCUCCAGCGGCUCUGCCCUCUUCGGGGUGCGCGGAGCCGGGAGGCGGUGCUGCCGCGGUGCCAUUGCCACAGGCUGAGCUUCGCGAUGUCGUGAGGGGCGAGGUCAGCUUCUCCGGGUGACCUCUGCUCGGAGUGCAGGGCACCAAAGCCCCGGGAGGGAGCUGAGCACGGAGAGGGCGGCCGAGGGGUGGUGACGCUGUGAGGCGCCGUGCCCUGAGGCGGGCGGACGGGAGGGUUCCCGUCAGUCCUGAGGGGUCGGGCAGACUGUCUAUGCAAGAGCAGAACUUACUUUUCUGAACAUGGAAAACACAUAUUCUCCAACAUUUUUAUCUGUAUCAGAUGACAAUGAAUUCUACCUUUAUCCAAAGUGUGUUAGAAUAGAAAGUCAUCAGAAAAGCGUGAAGAAAGAGGGGCAGCAAAAGUGGGAACAAAAUAUACAUUGUGGGAACAGUGAUCAAACACCACCAAAUGAACCUAUAUAUUUAUCAGAAACACAAAGCAGCUGGGUAUUAGAAAAUGAAACAUGUGAUAGAGCCAGAAAACCUUGUAUAAGAGAAUCUUUCCAUUCCCAGGCU